rnacentral:rRNA from 1 species
UACGUAGGGUGCAAGCGUUGUCCGGAAUUAUUGGGCGUAAAGAGCUCGUAGGCGGUUUGUUGCGUCGGCUGUGAAAUCUCGAGGCUCAACCUCGAAACUGCACUUGAUACUGCCUUGCUCGAGUACUGGAGAGGAGAUUGGAAUUUACGGUGUAGCAGUGAAAUGCGUAGAUAUCGUAAGGAAGACCAGUGGCGAAGGCGAAUCUCUGGACACUUACUGACACUGAGGCACGAAGGCCAGGGGAGCAAACGGG